AGGUUUCAUAUUUAGGAGUUGUUCAUAAACAGUUUAGGCCAUCACUGCCCAAUCCAUUAUGCAGAGAGGGGCCAGCUCGAGUAAACUUCCGGAGCUAGAAUCACUUUUCACCGCAAACAUUUAAGCAGCAGGGCCCCUGAAACGAGCCCCCAGGGCAUGCCGACCCCCUCCAACUCCCAAUGAAACAAGUAAGAAAUUCUAUGCAUAUUUUGGGCCCUUUUUCUCGGAAAGGCAGCCGUGACCUGCAUUUUGGGCUGACCAAUCGGAGGGUUGCUUGUCCGUGGCUGAAGGUUGGGCUUUUGUGGGCUGUGGACCGGGAAUAAUUACUCUAUUUUAUCAAAGAGGGAUAAAAGUCCUGACUGGACUGGCGACUAUUAAAUUUAAAAGCGGUUUCUUUGGGUGAAUAUUUUUAAAAGAAAUUACGGAAAAGCUUUGCGUACAAGAAUGUUAGUCAGAAAUACUGUCUAAGUUUACACAUAUAUAUGUACAGUAUGAAUGUAUAUGUACAGAUUACUCAUUACAUGUGAGGUAUAAAUUGAAGCUGUAUUUUUGUUGAAAAAUAGAGAUUUUAAACAUUCCUAGAGGUAGGAAUUUGCAAACAUAGUAUGAGUUGGUGUAACUAAAGGUUUGGGUUUUAGAAUAUUAUUUUAUUCACCAAUAAAACUGCAGAAAAAUGCUACAGGAUCCACUAAAUUUUAAGGCCAAAUAGGAAAAUGUGCAUAGUUCUCAAAACACUCAGCAUCGUUCGAGCACAAAUGUUCACAACAGGUCUGUACACAUUUUUUUUUAAUGCCAGUUUGUAUAUUUUGUAUAUCUAGUAAUGUUGUUAUUUGUUUGGUUUUUAAUUUUUGUAAUUUUUUUUUGUAGAUAAUUUAACCACAGAAAAAGGAAAUAUACAGACGGCGGUUAUCACAAAGAGUAUUAAGGAAAUCUUUCGCGGCCCUUUGAACUCUGCUAUCUGUACAAAGGAUUUGGGGUUCCCCCUCCGAAUUACCUGCAAGUUUUCAAAAAGGACGCUGCCAUAGGUCACUUCAUUUAUUAACGUUGUUAAACAAGUUCAGUUCCUGGUCGUUUCGGGGUAUAGUUUCCCCGCAUGAAAAAUCCCUUUAUGAAGCAUUA